rnacentral:rRNA from 1 species
GAUGAACGCUGGCGGCGUGCCUAAUACAUGCAAGUCGAGCGAACAGACGAGGAGCUUGCUCCUCUGACGUUAGCGGCGGACGGGUGAGUAACACGUGGAUAACCUACCUAUAAGACUGGGAUAACUUCGGGAAACCGGAGCUAAUACCGGAUAAUAUAUUGAACCGCAUGGUUCAAUAGUGAAAGACGGUUUUGCUGUCACUUAUAGAUGGAUCCGCGCCGCAUUAGCUAGUUGGUAAGGUAACGGCUUACCAAGGCAACGAUGCGUAGCCGACCUGAGAGGGUGAUCGGCCACACUGGAACUGAGACACGGUCCAGACUCCUACGGGAGGCAGCAGUAGGGAAUCUUCAGCAAUGGGCGAAAGCCUGACGGAGCAACGCCGCGUGGGUGAUGAAGGUCUUCGGAUCGUAAAACGCUGUUAUUAGGGAAGAACAAAUGUGUAAGUAACUAUGCACGUCUUGACGGUCCCUAACCAGAAAGCCACGGCUAACUACGUG